AAGGAUCAUUAUUGAAUAAGUUUGGUUGGGUUGUCGCUGGCUCGUAAGGGCAUGUGCACGCUCAACACCAAUCUUUUACCACCUGUGCAUUUAUGUAGACUUGAAUACCUUUCGAGGAAACUCGGUUUGAGGACUGCUGCGUGCAAGCUAGCUUUCCUUGCAUUUCUGGUCUAUGUUUUCAUAUACUCUUUUAAGUCUGUCCCAGAAUGUGCUUUAAAUGCCUUUAAACUUAAUACAACUUUCAACAACGGAUCUCUUGGCUCUCGCAUCGAUGAAGAACGCAGCGAAAUGCGAUAAGUAAUGGUGAAUUGCAGAAUUCAGUGAAUCAUCGAAUCUUUGAACGCACCUUGCGCUCCUUGGUAUUCUGAGGAGCAUGCCUGUUUGAGUGUCAUGAUAUUUUCAACCGUUUCAGCUCUUGCUGAUCAGGUUUGGAUGUGGGAGUUUGCGGGCCUUUUCAAAGGUCGGCUCUCCUUAAAUGUAUUAGCGAAAUCUUUGGUGCCCAAGCUUAUGGUGUGAUACUUUUCUAUACCAUCUGCUCAAGCAGUCCAAUACGAGGUUCAGCUUCUAAUAGUCGCUCUUAUAGACAACUUAUGACA
rnacentral:rRNA from 1 species